rnacentral:tRNA from 1 species
GGGGCUGUAGCUCAAUUGGGAGAGCGCUUGAAUGGCAUUCAAGAGGUCGUCGGUUCGAUCCCGAUCAGCUCCACCA